rnacentral:rRNA from 1 species
CCUACGGGAGGCAGCAGUGGGGAAUCUUAGACAAUGGGGGCAACCCUGAUCUAGCCAUGCCGCGUGAGUGAUGAAGGCCUUAGGGUCGUAAAGCUCUUUCGCCUGUGAUGAUAAUGACAGUAGCAGGUAAAGAAACCCCGGCUAACUCCGUGCCAGCAGCCGCGGUAAUACGGAGGGGGUUAGCGUUGUUCGGAAUUACUGGGCGUAAAGCGCGCGUAGGCGGAUUAGAAAGUUGGGGGUGAAAUCCCGGGGCUCAACCCCGGAACUGCCUCCAAAACUGCUAGUCUAGAGUUCGAGAGAGGUGAGUGGAAUUCCGAGUGUAGAGGUGAAAUCCGUAGAUAUUCGGAGGAACACCAGUGGCGAAGGCGGCUCACUGGCUCGAUACUGACGCUGAGGUGCGAAAGUGUGGGGAGCAAACAGGAUUAGAUACCCUGGUAGUCCAAACCGUAAACGAUGAAUGCCAGUCGUCGGGUAGUAUACUAUUCGGUGACACACCUAACGGAUUAAGCAUUCCGCCUGGGGAGUACGGUCGCAAGAUUAAAACUCAAAUGAAUUGACGG